GCGCGUGUAGCUCAGUUGGUUAGAGCGCCUGCUUCACAUGUAGGAGGUCUCUGGUUCGAGUCCAGACACGCGCA
rnacentral:tRNA from 1 species